rnacentral:rRNA from 1 species
GAUGAACGCUGGCGGCGUGCCUAAUACAUGCAAGUCGAGCGAACGGACGAGAAGCUUGCUUCUCUGAUGUUAGCGGCGGACGGGUGAGUAACACGUGGAUAACCUACCUAUAAGACUGGGAUAACUUCGGGAAACCGGAGCUAAUACCGGAUAAUAUUUUGAACCGCAUGGUUCAAAAGUGAAAGACGGUCUUGCUGUCACUUAUAGAUGGAUCCGCGCUGCAUUAGCUAGUUGGUAAGGUAACGGCUUACCAAGGCAACGAUGCAUAGCCGACCUGAGAGGGUGGUCGGCCACACGGGAACUGAGACACGGUCCAGACUCCUACGGGAGGCAGCAGUAGGGAAUCUUCCGCAAUGGGCGAAAGCCUGACGGAGCAACGCCGCGUGAGUGAUGAAGGUCUUCGGAUCGUAAAACUCUGUUAUUAGGGAAAAACAUAUGUGUAAGUAACUGUGCACAUCUUGACGGUACCUAAUCAGAAAGCCACGGCUAACUACGUG